UACGGAGGGUGCAAGCGUUGCUCGGAAUCACUGGGCGUAAAGCGACCGCAGGCGGCCUGACAAGUCGGAUGUGAAAGCCCUGGGCUCAACUCAGGAAUUGCAUUCGAAACUGGUAGGCUCGAGUACGGGAGAGGGGGGUGGAAUUCCUGGUGUAGGGGUGAAAUUCGUUGAUAUCAGGAGGAACACCGGCGGCGAAGGCGGCCCCCUGGCCCGCAACUGACGCUCAUGGUCGAAAGCGUGGGGAGCAAACAGGAUUAGAAACCCCCGUAGUCC
rnacentral:rRNA from 1 species